rnacentral:lncRNA from 1 species
UGGCGAUCUGAGCCGGCAGAACCAAUCGCCCUCGGUGGAACCCGCCAGGCUCACAGGUGUUUGCGCGCGACUAGGCUGGCUGCGCCUCCCCGGUAGCUGGCGCCCAGAAGGACCGCCAGCCCCGCUGCGUCCCCGGAGCCACAGGGCGCUGUCCUACGGACCCGCCUUCCGAUCCUGCUCAAUCCCCCCAGGUCUCGAUCGAGGGCAGCAGUGUGAGCUCGCCCCUAAGAACAAAUGCAAGAUAAUUUGACCUCGUUGGGUCAAUGUUAGGCUCUAAGGCAUAAUAUGAAUCGAGAUCUUCCUUUCCCCAGGGAAAGUCCUGGCCAUAACGUCCAACAAUAAGAACCCCCAGGGGUGGUGCGCAAUAGGUUACUUAUACAUAAUCAAGGACUCUUGUAAUUUUAUUGUUCUUUAGGGGACAUUUAAAAAAAAUUAUAAGGUAUUUAUAAAGUCUAUACUUUUGUAUGUAGU